rnacentral:rRNA from 1 species
AUUGAACGCUGGCGGCAUGCUUUACACAUGCAAGUCGAACGGUAACAGGCCUUCGGGUGCUGACGAGUGGCGAACGGGUGAGUAGUGCAUCGGAACGUGCCCAAUCGUGGGGGAUAACGUAGCGAAAGUUACGCUAAUACCGCAUAAGCCCUGAGGGGGAAAGUGGGGGACCUUCGGGCCUCACGCGAUGAGAUGAGCCGAUGCCGGAUUAGCUAGUUGGCGGGGUAAAGGCCCACCAAGGCGACGAUCCGUAGCUGGUCUGAGAGGAUGAUCAGCCACACUGGAACUGAGACACGGUCCAGACUCCUACGGGAGGCAGCAGUGGGGAAUAUUGGACAAUGGGGGCAACCCUGAUCCAGCCAUGCCGCGUGUGUGAAGAAGGCC